AUAAACUUGAAAGGUAGGAAUGUUUUGUACCAAUUACCCUAAAAUUAGUACACGCAGGUUAUCUUUCUCUCUCCUGCGAUGGGAAAAUUUUCAUACCUAAAAUAUUACCUGAUUUUCUUUGGUAUCUACAGACCUUAAUAGUAGAUCAUGAAGAACUACAACUACCAUAGGAAAAAUGGAGGAUGCCACAAUUAAGGCAUCUCCUAUUCGGGAUGUGUUAUUUGCCAUUCCCGGCUAGAUCACCAAUAGAUGGGGAGAAUUUCGUUCUAGGAAACCUUUUAACAUUGUCGAAAGUGGGUAGUGCCAGUACCAAGGAGGUCUUUGAAAGAGUUCCAAAUCUAGAAAAGUUAGGAAUUUUGAGUGAACAUUGGAAAAUAUCACCCUUUUUCUCUAGGUACUCUGGUUAAUCUUCCUCAACUUGAGAACCUGAAAAAUCAGAAGUGAAAAUGAACGUGUUAGUAUCCCCAUGGAUUUCAAUUUCCCACCAAAUAUCAAAACGUUAACUUUAGAGCGUUCCAGAAUUCCUUGGAAACAUAUAUGACUAUUGUUGGUUCUAUGGCCAAUCUUGAAGUGCUCAAACUGCAAUAUAACACCUUUGAUGGGCCAGAAUGGAAGCUAACUGAAGAAGAAUAUUGCAAAUCAAAAUAGAUCGCGUGCAAUGGAGAGCUGACAACACUCACUUUCCAGGCCUUGAGCGCCUAAUUAUUAGAGAAUGUUUCAAACUAGAUUAUAUCCCUUGUAGUAUUGUAGAUUUACCAACUCUUCAAAUCAUUGACUUGGAUGACGCUAGCCUCUGCUGUGACUUUGGCAAAGCAAAUACAAGAAAAACAAAAGAACUGGGGAAAUGAUAACCUUCAAGUUCAUGUCGAUUGCAUAAUCGAAAAUGUCUAUCGAGUGGUAAAAACGAUUCCUUGAGCUAUACUUACUACUGCAAAUAUUUGAACAUUUUUCUAUCUUAAGAAAAUUUAACGAUCACUGUAAUGAAAUUGUUGACUCCAG
rnacentral:lncRNA from 1 species